CACGUAGUUAGCCGUGGCUUCCUCCUCAGGUACCGUCAUUAUCGUCCCUGAAGACAGAGCUUUACAACCCGAAGGCCGUCAUCACUCACGCGGCGUUGCUGCAUCAGGGUUUCCCCCAUUGUGCAAUAUUCCCCACUGCUGCCUCCCGUAGGAGUCUGGGCCGUAUCUCAGUCCCAAUGUGGCCGAUCACCCUCUCAGGUCGGCUACGCAUCGUCGCCUUGGUGAGCCCGUUACCUCACCAACUAGCUAAUGCGCCGCGGGCCCAUCUCAUAGCGGAUUGCUCCUUUAAUUGCUACUUCAUGCGAAGCUACAAUCUUAUGCGGUAUUAAUCUCCCUUUCGGAAGGCUAUUCCCCUCUAUGAGGCAGGUUGCCCACGUGUUACUCACCCGUCCGCCGCUAGCUUUGUUCCGAAGAACUCCACUCGCUCGACUUGCAUGUGUUAGGCACGCCGCCAGCGUUCGUCCUGACGCCAGGACUACAAACUCU
rnacentral:rRNA from 1 species